rnacentral:rRNA from 1 species
AAACGCCUCAGUUCGGAUUGCAGCCUGCAACUCGGCUGCAUGAAGCCGGAAUCGCUAGUAAUCGCGGAUCAGAAUGCCGCGGUGAAUACGUUCCCGGGUCUUGUACACACCGCCCGUCACACCAUGGGAGUCGGGAAUGCCCGAAGUCGGUGAGCUAACGAAAGAGGCAGCCGCCGAAGGCAGGCCCGGUAACUGGGGUGAAGUCGUAACAAGGUAUC